UGUCAGAAGUGGGAUUCGCACCCUCGCUCAGAAGAGUUUACUGCGAACUGAACGCCGCGCCUAAGACCGCUCGGCCAUCCUCAC